CCUGCAUGGCAUAACAUAUGCAUCAUAUGU
rnacentral:piRNA from 1 species